GAGCAGAGAGGGACAGCUCCGGGGCCCAAGCAGGUAGGAGGGUCAGAAAGGAGGCUGACAGCAUCUGGGAAAUGACAGCAGAUGACCACCAGGCAGGCUCGGGCGACAGGGUUGUGAGUGGGUUUAGGAUCAUAUCAGCAGCUGGGGCACCGGUUCAGCGGCACACGCAUCCUGAAGGUAGUGCGUGGAAUCCUCCAGAUCCCCUGGACCUGAGAGGCCCACGUGGAGAAGGUGGAGACCCUAGAGGUCCUGGAUUCUGGCUCCUGGCACACAGCCUCCAAUCCUCAUCCACCAGUGCCAGCUGGAACAGGAUCAAGCAGGCCCAGGUGCCUGCUGCACACAUUACUUUUCUGGGACUGCCUGGGAACUGUGUGCUCUUUCUGUCCUCCCCAGGGUGUAUCUCAUUCCAGUGCAGGGCCUCUGGACAGCCCAGGUUGGUGGCAUCCCCACCCUGGUACUCACACAGGUGGUGCUCUUCAUAGUGAUGUCAUUAGAAAGGACAUUUCUGCCAUUGUUCAGGCUGGCUUCAACAAAGACCUCCUUAAAGCACAGAAAGCGAAGAUGGUGAGAGCCAGCCCGGAGAGAUGCAGUUCUUGCCCUUGAGUCCAUUGGCUUAACUCUGAAAGGCGACCUGGAGCAACGGUACCAUUCCUCGGGCAAUCAUCUCCUGCAUCCUGCCCUCCUCACAGACCCUAGGACACUGCAGAUCCCUAGGACACUGCAGAUCCCUGAACACCUUGGGGGCCACCAACAAGGGAGGAAAUGACAUGGGAAGAAUGUCGAUGCACAUGUUCGUCCACUGUUCCUCCCACCUCCGGUCCUCAUCACGCAGAGCGGACCCUGUGGUCCACGACUGGCAUCUGGGCUCUGCUUUCCCAUUGCAGAGACCCCUGUGAGCACCCGCCACGCCCAGGCCCUGUGCAGCACUCUGAUGUGUAACAGGAAAGGCAGGCAGAGUCCCUGCUCUCAAGGACUCACCUUUAAGGACUGCAUGGGAGACAGACAACAAAAUUAAAAAUAGAGAACAAAAUAGAUGGCAGAGUGCAACGUGCUGUGAUGUCCAUGAGCAGAGGGAAGGAGAGGCACAGAGAGAAAGGGACAGCCGCUUCGUCACAGGCGACCAGAAGCAUUCGUGUGAUGUUCCACAGUUUCUUCAAUCCCAUUUCAUUUUCUUUUUCUUCCAUCAUAUUUAAGCAAAAUUAAAUUUAUUAUGUUGUAGUUGAAAAUGUUAAUAGCACUUGUCUUUGGGUUUGGGAUUUGGGGCAAUGUUUUUAUUCAUUAUGUUUUGUCUAUGUUUCUUUUUUCUACAUUGUAUCAUUUUUAUAAUAAAAUAUAAUUAACACU
rnacentral:lncRNA from 1 species